rnacentral:rRNA from 1 species
UACGUAGGGGGCAAGCGUUGUCCGGAAUCACUGGGCGUAAAGGGUGCGUAGGCGGGUCUUUAAGUCAGGGGUGAAAUCCUGGAGCUCAACUCCAGAACUGCCUUUGAUACUGAGGAUCUUGAGUUCGGGAGAGGUGAGUGGAACUGCGAGUGUAGAGGUGAAAAUUCGUAGAUAUUCGCAAGAACACCAGUGGCGAAGGCGGCUCACUGGCCCGAUACUGACGCUGAGGCACGAAAGCGUGGGGAGCAAACAGG